GAUGAACGCUAGCGGCAGGCUUAACACAUGCAAGUCGAGGGGCAGCAUAAUGGAUAGCAAUAUCUAUGGUGGCGACCGGCGCACGGGUGCGUAACGCGUAUGCAACCUACCUUUAACAGGGGGAUAACACUGAGAAAUUGGUACUAAUACCCCAUAAUAUCAUAGAAGGCAUAGUUUUCCCGCAUGGGAUAAUUAUUAAAGAAUUUCGGUUGUCGAUGGGGAUGCGUUCCAUUAGGCAGUUGGCGGGGUAACGGCCCACCAAACCUACGAUGGAUAGGGGUUCUGAGAGGAAGGUCCCCCANAUUGGAACUGAGACACGGUCCAAACUCCUACGGGAGCAGCAGUGAGGAAUAUUGGUCAAUGGACAGAGUCUGAACCAGCCAAGUAGCGUGAAGGAUGACUGCCCUAUGGGUUGUAAACUUCUUUAUACGGGAAUAAAGUUAGCCACGUGUGGUUUUUUGUAUGUACCGUAUGAAUAAGGACUCGGCUAACUCCGUGCCAGCAGCCGGUAA
rnacentral:rRNA from 1 species